UACGUAGGGUGCGAGCGUUAAUCGGAAUUACUGGGCGUAGAGCGUGCGCAGGCGGUUCGCUAAGACCGAUGUGAAAUCCCCGGGCUUAACCUGGGAACUGCAUUUGUGACUGCAUCGCUGGAGUGCGGCAGAGGGGGAUGGAAUUCCGCGUGUAGCAGUGAAAUGCGUAGAUAUGCGGAGGAACACCGAUGGCGAAGGCAAUCCCCUGGGCCUGCACUGACGCUCAUGCACGAAAGCGUGGGGAGCAAACAGG
rnacentral:rRNA from 1 species